GACGAACGCUGGCGGCGUGCUUAACACAUGCAAGUCGAACGGAAAGGCGCUGCUUUUGCGGCUUUCUCGAGUGGCGAACGGGUGAGUGACACGUGAGUAACCUGCCCUUGUCUUUCGGGUAACUUCACGAAACUCGGGCUAAUACCGGAUAGGAGCUCCUGCUGCAUGGUGUGGGUUGGAGAGUGUCGGCGGUUGUGGAUGGUCUGGCUGCUUACGAGCUUGUUUGGGGGGUAGUGGCUGACCAAGGCUUUGACGGGUAGCCGGCCUGAGAGGGGGACCGGCGACAUGGGGACUGAGAUACGGAGCAGAAGCCUACGGGAGGCAGAGGUGGGGAGUAUUGCACAAUGGGCGGAAGUGUGAUGCGGCAACGUUGCGUGCGGGAUGCCGGGCUACGGGUGGUAAACAGAUUUGGAAGGAGACGAAGAGUGCGUGACGGUAAUGGGUAAAGAAGCAACGGCUAACUACGUG
rnacentral:rRNA from 1 species